UACGAAGGGUGCAAGCGUUACUCGGAAUUACUGGGCGUAAAGCGUGCGUAGGUGGUUCGUUAAGUCUGUCGUGAAAGCCCCGGGCUCAACCUGGGAAUGGCGAUGGAUACUGGCGGGCUAGAGUGCGGUAGAGGAGAGUGGAAUUCCCGGUGUAGCAGUGAAAUGCGUAGAGAUCGGGAGGAACAUCAGUUGCGAAGGCGGCUCUCUGGACCAGCACUGACACUGAGGCACGAAAGCGUGGGGAGCAAACGGG
rnacentral:rRNA from 1 species